rnacentral:lncRNA from 1 species
UCAGGACUGCAUUGUGAACGACGAAAACACUCGACUAUACAGAAUCAAUGGCUAAAUGUUCACUUGACGCGUUUGUGAGCUCUUGCGCGGAAAGACAACGGGUUUUAAAGUAAAUGGACUGGGUGGCCACUACUGACGUAAUACAACAAGUUCCAGAAAAUCGUGAGUCAAUUGCAAGCAAACAAAGAUGGCAGUUGCAACAGCCUACAGCGGGACAGUAGAAGGUUGACACAGCAAACGUGACUGCAGUGCUUCCACUUUUGAAACUGGUAUUCAUGCCAACAUUGCUGUGCCACCAUCACUAAAGCGACAGCAUGAGUGCUUGUGUGUGCUCGUGGUGCUCCAGCAUCUAAAGGUGGAUCCACAUUAUAGAAAAAAAUCAUUUCAAGACCAUGUAUCAUGUGACGGUGCAUCGAUUCAGGGCUUCAACACCUUGUACACAGCCAUCAGGCUCGUAGUGUUUGGGUGCCGACACAGAUUUUGACAUUAAGCUAUGGAAAUUUCGGUAUAGAAAAGGCUAAUGAAUCUAGCAGCCAGGCUUUCUUCAUAUUGCUUUUAAAAAGACAAUUAUUUUUGGAAUCCCUUUUUAAUGUGGAGCAAAGCACAGCCAUCAGAGAUAGGGCA